AGCCUUGAGGCUGCGGUGAAUCUCGUGUUUAGUGGGUGUCGUACCUUUUGCAUCAUGAUUCCUUGAAGGAGUUCGGUUAGUCUGGUGUCUCGAAAGACGGUGAUUCGGGUCUGCCUUGUUUUUAGAACUUAGGGGUUGGUGGGUAACCAAAGUUGAAAGGUAGGUCCGGAGGUGACAUGCAUUGCGUACCGUCUCAUAGCUAGUUGCCGGAGUCGAGUUUUCAAACUAUGGCCCCGUUGCUUGGAUGUGGCGGGGUUGUCAAGAGGGCUUUUUGGGUUGAUGAGUUGGCUAGGUUAGAGGUACCUUGUUUUAGCUUCGUGUUAUGACGAUUGACUCGGAUUGUUUGGGCUUUUUGGUUUAGUGCUCUGGGCUUAGGCGUAACGGUCUGUUUUCAAGUGUGGGGUAAUGAGUAGUUUGAAUGGCUUCCUUUUUUCUCGGAGAUCUCCGGUCUGUUUCUCAAAAACAUUUUCAUCAGGAAGGUUUGAUGGUAGUGCCUGCCCGAUGUUUGCAAUAAAUGGCCGCAGUAUCUUGACUGUGCUAAGGUAGCAUAAUCAGUUGCCUUGUAAUUGAAGGAUUGUUUGAACGGUUUGACCAGGGGGGUGUGUCUAGAUGGGGGCCAUCUCUGAAAUUAGGUGGCUGGUGCAGAUCCCAGCGAUUUUUAAUCAGACGGAAAGACCCCGAGAGCUUUGGCAGUUUUGUGCUUACUUGGGGCAAGGGCAAAU
rnacentral:rRNA from 1 species